UACAGGGGGGGCAAGCGUUGUUCGGAAUUACUGGGCGUAAAGGGCUCGUAGGCGGCCAACUAAGUCACACGUGAAAUCCCCAGGCUUAACCUGGGAACUGCGUGUGAUACUGGAUGGCUUGAAUCCGGGAGAGGGAUGCGGAGUUCCAGGUGUAGCGGUGAAAUGCGUAGAUAUCUGGAGGAACACCGGUGGCGAAGGCGGCAUCCUGGACCGGCAUUGACGCUGAACAGCGAAAGCCAGGGGAGCAAACGGG
rnacentral:rRNA from 1 species